UCGAGAAUCUUCCACAAUGGGCGAAAGCCUGAUGGAGCGACGUUACGUGACUGAUGAAGCCCUUCGGGGUGUAAAGGUCUUUUCUCCGGGGAGAACCCGCAAGGGUGACAGUACCGGAGGAAUAAGGAGAUCCUAAUUCUGUGCCAGCAGGAGCGGUAAGACAGAAUCUCCAAGCGUUACCCGGAAUUAUUGGGCGUAAAGGGUCUGUAGGUGGCAAAAUAAGUCUUUGGUUAAAACUCAUCGGCUCAACCUUUGAGAUCCCAAAGAUACUGUUUGGCUAGAGGGCGUUAGAAGCUGACGGAACCGACGGUGUAGGGGUGAAAUCCGUUGAUAUCGUCGGGAACACCAAAAGCGAAGGCAGUCAGCUAGGACGACCCUGACACUGAGAGACGAAAGCGUGGGGAUCAAAAAGG
rnacentral:rRNA from 1 species